GAUGAAGAACGUAGCGAAAUGCGAUAAUUAAUGUGAAUUGCAGAAUUCCGUGAAUCAUCGAGUCUUUGAACGCACAUUGCGCCUCAUGGCAUUCCGUGAGGCAAGCCCAUCUCAGCGUUAGAAAAUAUUCUCAAAUUUUAGUUUUGUGCUAAAAUUUGGAUCAUGUCAAGGAAGCUAUUACUAUUAUUGUGAUCGCUCUUUGGAAAUUGAUAGGUCUUUGAGUUGCUACUCAUAGAACGUGAUGAAUCUUUCUUCGUUCUAUUGUAAUUCACUCUGGUAGUCCUAAAACUUGUAUGCCUGUGGCAUAUCUUGUAAUUUGACCUGAGAUUGGGUAGGGAUACCCGCUGAACUUAAGCAUAUCAAUAAGCGGAGGA
rnacentral:misc_RNA from 1 species